CCGGCACGGUGAGUAACACGUAUCCAACCUGCCGUCUACUCUUGGACAGCCUUCUGAAAGGAGGAUUAAUACAAGAUGGCAUCAUGAGUUCACAUGUUCACAUGAUUAAAGGUAUUCCGGUAGACGAUGGGGAUGCGUUCCAUUAGAUAGUAGGCGGGGUAACGGCCCACCUAGUCUUCGAUGGAUAGGGGUUCUGAGAGGAAGGUCCCCCACAUUGGAACUGAGACACGGUCCAA
rnacentral:rRNA from 1 species